rnacentral:rRNA from 1 species
CCUACGGGAGGCAGCAGUGAGGAAUAUUGGUCAAUGGACGAGAGUCUGAACCAGCCAAGUAGCGUGAAGGAUGACUACCCUAUGGGUUGUAAACUUCUUUUAUAAAGGAAUAAAACGAGGCACGUGUGCCUUUUUUCAUGUACUUUAUGAAUAAGGAUCGGCUAACUCCGUGCCAGCAGCCGCGGUAAUACGGAGGAUCCGAGCGUUAUCCGGAUUUAUUGGGUUUAAAGGGAGCGUAGAUGGGUUGUUAAGUCAGUUGUGAAAGUUUGCGGCUCAACCGUAAAAUUGCAAUUGAUACUGGCAGUCUUGAGUACAGUUGAGGUAGGCGGAAUUCGUGGUGUAGCGGUGAAAUGCUUAGAUAUCACGAAGAACCCCGAUUGCGAAGGCAGCUUACUAAACUGUGACUGACAUUGAUGCUCGAAAGUGUGGGUAUCAAACAGGAUUAGAUACCCGAGUAGUC